rnacentral:rRNA from 1 species
AAGUCCUUAGUGACUGAGUGGCGGACGGGUGAGUAACGCGUGGGUAACCUGCCUCAUACAGGGGGAUAACAGUUAGAAAUGGCUGCUAAUACCGCAUAAGCGCACGGCAUCGCAUGAUGCAGUGUGAAAAACUCCGGUGGUAUGAGAUGGACCCGCGUUGGAUUAGCUAGUUGGCAGGGUAACGGCCUACCAAGGCGACGAUCCAUAGCCGGCCUGAGAGGGUGGACGGCCACAUUGGGACUGAGACACGGCCCAGACUCC